GACGAAAGCUGGCGGCAGGCUUAACACAUGCAAGUCGCGCGAGCGGCGGACGGGUGAGUAAUGUCUGGGAAACGGCCUGAGGGAGGGGGAUAACUACUGGAAACGGUAGCUAAUACCGCAUACCAUCAGAUGUGCCCAGAUGGGAUUAGCUAGUAGGUGGGGUAAUGGCUCACGUAGGCGACGAUCCCGAGCUGGUCUGAGAGGAGGACCAGCCACACUGGAACUGAUACACGGUCCAGACUCCGACGGGAGGCAGCAGUGGGGAAUAUUGCACAAUGGGCGCAAGCCUGAUGCAGCCAUGCCGCGUGUGUGAAGAAGGCCUUCGGGUUGUAAAGCACUUUCAGCGAGGAGGCGUUACUCGCAGAAGAAGCACCGGCUAACUCCGUGCCAGCAGCCGCGGUAAUUC
rnacentral:rRNA from 1 species